AUUGAACGCUGGCGGCAGGCUUAACACAUGCAAGUCGAGCGAGCGGCGGACGGGUGAGUAAUGUCUGGGAAACUGCCUGAUGGAGGGGGAUAACUACUGGAAACGGUAGCUAAUACCGCAUACCAUCAGAUGUGCCCAGAUGGGAUUAGCUCGUAGGUGGGGUAAUGGCUCACCUAGGCGACGAUCCCUAGCUGGUCUGCGAGGAUGACCACCCACACGUGAGCUGAUACAGUGUCCAUGGUCCUGCGGGAGGCAGCAGUGGGGAAUAUUGCACAAUGGGCGCAAGCCUGAUGCAGCCGUGCCGCGUGUGUGAAGAAGGCCUUCGGGUUGUAAAGCACUUUCAGCGAGGAGGCGUUACUCGCAGAAGAAGCACCGGCUAACUCCGUGCCAGCCGCCGCGGUAAUAC
rnacentral:rRNA from 1 species